AUGCUGCCGGCCGGCGUCAAGUUUGAUCCCACAGAUCAGGAGCUGAUCGUGCACCUCGAGGCCAAAGUGAGUGCUGACAGCACGAGAUCUCACCCUCUCAUCGAUUUGUUCAUGCCAACCAUUGACAGCGAGCACGGCAUAUGCUACACCCAACCUGAGAAACUUCCAGGUAUCACACAGAAUGGCCUAAGGAAGCAUAUCUUCCAGCGCAAUUCCAGGGCGUUCAAAAUGGGCACGUGGACGCAUCGCAAGAUAUAG
rnacentral:rRNA from 1 species